UGAGGGGGGUUGUAGUUGGUAGACCUUCAGCGCCUCGGUCACGGAGGGAAUCCAACACCACCCGUUCGCACAGACGGUCGGGUGUCUUUCGAAAAUUUUCCCUCCUCA
rfam:Agrilus planipennis Contig16287, whole genome shotgun sequence.